rnacentral:rRNA from 1 species
GAUGAACGCUGGCGGCGUGCUUAACACAUGCAAGUCGAACGAUGAAGCCCAGCUUGCUGGGUGGAUUAGUGGCGAACGGGUGAGUAACACGUGAGUAACCUGCCCUUGACUCUGGGAUAAGCCUGGGAAACUGGGUCUAAUACUGGAUAUGACUUCUCAUCGCAUGGUGGGGGGUGGAAAGAUUUAUUGGUCUUGGAUGGACUCGCGGCCUAUCAGCUUGUUGGUGAGGUAAUGGCUCACCAAGGCGACGACGGGUAGCCGGCCUGAGAGGGUGACCGGCCACACUGGGACUGAGACACGGCCCAGACUCCUACGGGAGGCAGCAGUGGGGAAUAUUGCACAAUGGGCGCAAGCCUGAUGCAGCGACGCCGCGUGAGGGAUGACGGCCUUCGGGUUGUAAACCUCUUACAGUAGGGAAGAAGCGAGAGUGACGGUACCUGCAGAAGAAGCGCCGGCUAACUACGUG